UGACAUCACAGAGGCUGGGCUCUUCAGCAGAACUGCCUGAAGCCUUCUCUGGCUGCUGUGUAUGACUGUCACUUCUAACAGCAAGUCCCCUGCCCCCCACUUGUGCUGGAGACUGCAGGGUUGGCUUUGAGACUACGAGAUCACAGAAACCCAGGCAAGAAGGGUUGACUUCAUGACACAGUUUGGUCAAGGAGACAUAAGAAGAGGCUGUCCACUGAAGAUUUCUAGAGAAGUUCUUGCCUUCCCGAUAAAAGGGGGAAAAGACACAGUUGGCUCAGCUCUGACCCUGUUUUCCUGCCUUGAAUCUCCACAUGCUGGCUAGGGUGGCACCUUGGACCCAUUAGGCAACACGCUACACAGAGAGAACCCGAUGAAGUUGUUGAGUCACUGCCCCAGCCUUGAACUUCUUCCCUGUGAAUUGCUCAUUAUUUCUGGUUUUGAGUCGUGCCCUACAUUCGUAAGAGUGUGGACGAGAAUCCACCAACUGGGUCAUCUCCUUUCCCCAGGUUUGCUUGUGACCUUCGGUUGGCUGAGGCUUUGUUGGGCUCCUGCCACAGAUUGACCUUUCUGCCCAGUCCUGCUUCUGGCCCUUCCCCUCCACAGGUGUUUAUCCCAAAAUAAUUCCCAAAUAAACAUCCUGCAUGCAUGUCUCUAGAGUCUAUUUGUGGACUUUUUGUUUCACUAA